rnacentral:ncRNA from 1 species
GGCUCAAGCGUACCGCCGAAGUCGUGUCAUUGCGAUAUAUACCCCCAACGGGGAUCGUGAUGGGUAGGGGAGCGUCGUGUGCCGGGUGAAGCAGCACCGGAAGGUAGUUGUGGACGGUUCACGAGUGAGAAUGCAGGCAUGAGUAGCGAUUCACACGUGAGAAACGUGUGCGCCGAUUGACUAAGGGUUCCUGGGUCAAGCUGAUCUGCCCAGGGUAAGUCGGGACCUAAGGCGAGGCCGACAGGCGUAGUCGAUGGAUAACCGGUUGAUAUUCCGGUACCGCUGUGAAGCGUACAAACGAUCGAAUCCAGUGAU